GAUGAACGCUGGCGGCGUGCCUAAUACAUGCAAGUCGAGCGAACAGACGAGGAGCUUGCUCCUCUGACGUUAGCGGCGGACGGGUGAGUAACACGUUGAUAACCUACCUAUAAGACUGGGAUACCUUCGGGAAACCGGAGCUAAUACCGGAUAAUAUAUUGAACCGCAUGGUUCAAUAGUGAAAGACGGUUUUGCUGUCACUUAUAGAUGGAUCCGCGCCGCAUUAGCUAGUUGGUAAGGUAACGGCUUACCAAGGCAACGAUGCGUAGCCGACCUGAGAGGGUGAUCGGCCACACUGGAACUGAGACACGGUCCAGACUCCUACGGGAGGCAGCAGUAGGGAAUCUUCCGCAAUGGGCGAAAGCCUGACGGAGCAACGCCGCGUGAGUGAUGAAGGUCUUCGGAUCGUAAAACUCUGUUAUUAGGGAAGAACAAAUGUGUAAGUAACUAUGCACGUCUUGACGGUACCUAAUCAGAAAGCCACGGCUAACUACGUG
rnacentral:rRNA from 1 species